rnacentral:piRNA from 1 species
UGCUUGGCCUGUUCCGUGGUGGGUAC